rnacentral:lncRNA from 1 species
AUAAAGGCUUUAGCAUUAAGCCUCCACCAACUAAAUAAUCGAAGUGGAUACACACGAGUACAUGGCUGUCACAACGAAGAAGAACACGAGAUCAUGGCUGCAACUCAAGCGCACAGGUAGCCAUAGGGGACCUUCUUGCCGCAGUAGUUGAGGAGGAGGGUGAGAUCGACGUCGACGUUGAGGCUGAUGCCCAAGAUGUUGGCCUUGAUGGCGGUGCAGAGGCACAAGGCGGCUUCGAAGUCGGCGAGGCCCUCGAUGAGGCUACAGCAGGGUUUCUUGGGCGGGGUGCCGAUCUGGAGGUUGAUGAGGCCGCCGAGCACGUUGGCGCAGGCGCCCAGCUUGACCGUGUCGAUGGGACAGGAUGGCAUGCCGGGUUUGGGAGUCGGUUUGGGUCUGGGCGAAGGCUUGGGCUUCAUCGGAGGUGGCGGGCAGUAGCUGGAGGAGACCAAGGUGAAGAAGAGGAGGCUGAGGCAGAGGAGUAGAGCGGUGGAGGAAGAAGCCAUCUCCUGUCGAGUAACUUGGACGAGGAACGGAAGGGGAAUACGUAGGAGUGUACUUUGGCUUGGGAGUGGAGCAAUGGGAAGUUAGGGUUUUAUAGAUAAGUACUGCGAUUUGCGGUACAGUGGCAAUGCAUGUGAGCAGGUGGGCCAGACAUGCAAGCUGGAGAUUGGAGAUAGGGUUCGGUGCUUCGUCAUGUAGCGCUUUGUGCCGCUUGCGCUCGUCAUGGUUCUGCACUGUGAUCUUUCCACCAUUAUUCACCGAUCCAAACCCCUCUCUCUCUCUCUCUCUCUCUCUCUCUCUCUCACGUACAGAGAGAGAUAGAGAUACUGUGGUGUAGCUUCAGUCCUUAAAGGUGAAAACUGAACACAAGACAGUAUCACAAUUUAAACAAUGAACACGAUUAAGCAAGCCAAUCACAACAACCACAUAUCGAACUUUCUUGGGUUUUACCCAAAUCAGUGUUAUGAACUUUGUUGGAGUUUCCCAGCAUUUGGCUCUCAGCGUGGAUUAGAUACUGAAUGAGAACCAUUCAAGAAUACUUGAGCCAUACCAUAAAAUGUUAAUUAGUUCAGAGAAAUUUGCUGGUAUGUAAAUUGAUUUCACAUUCUUGUUCGUCUCGACAUGAAUCAACCAUCACCUCUCCACCAUGACAAUAAUUUUAGGGAAGGAAAGGAUCGAUUGUGCCGACAUGAAGUAACCUGACACCAACCUCAGGUUCGCUAAAGGCCCACCUGGCCUUGCAUAGAUAGCAACCAGAGCAGUCCAACAACAGCCAUUUGACAGACACUGGAUCCUACUCUUCUGUCUUGAUCUGGUAUGUGCUCCUGCACCAAUUGGCUUGCUAUGAUCAAUACUUUGGAACAUGUAGAUACAGAUACAAAUCUCUGGACUCGGAUAGAGGCCAGUGGCUGACAGAUUUCCUUCCGAGUGACCUCAGAAAAAAAAAGAAGAAAAAAACAAUUAUGACAGCCUUGCAUCCACGUCCACACUAAACAAAACCAAGCAGUCAUAUCUGACAUUCAACAUCAUGACCUAAUUCCAAGCCCUAGAAGUUCACUCUAAGGUUCUUUACAGAGCAUAGUCUAAAUUUCUUAGUACAUUGCAAAAUAUUCCAAGAUCAUGGUUGACCAGAGAGAGAACAGCCACUGGGAGUAUCACUAGUUAUCUUCAUUAAAUGACUGCAAGUUUCGGAAUGUGUGCUAAAUUCAAAAUGUCCAAGCAAGAAUAGAAGAAGAAGAAUAGGUAUUAGAUGAAAACAAAAUACACUGACCCCUUGUACUAGUUAUCUUCUGAACACAAGUUUCAACUCCGCAAUCCAUGGGCCAACUUUAAUGUCUUGGGUUGUCUAGUUAACUGAAGACAGAGAAUGAAGAAUGAGUGACAGUUAAACUAAUAUGAGAUAUCAUAUCAAUUGCAUGGAUGGUGCUAAGUGGUAAAAUGCAAUGUAGUUUGCUCAUGUCUGCAGACAUCUAAAAGUUCCACAUGUGCAGAAGAGUAUUUAUCAGAUGAUGGCUGUUAAAAGACCACUGAACCACAGGAUCAUGUCUGGGAGAAAGACAAGGUUACAGAAGGGCAAAGUUUGAACGACAAAUGAUUCUAACACUCAAGGGGAAUACAAGAAAGACACGUUGAUUUGCGAUGAGAGUAUCAAGUUGCCCACCAACACAUGGCAACAGCUCACUUAUGGAGAUUCUGCUUAGCUGACUUGAGAAAAAAAAAUAUUAAGCAGUGUUGAACACAAGGCAAUCAUGAAUUGCAUGGGGACAAGGUUGAAUGAGAAAUUGAUAUCAGGUUCUUUAUUGAAGCCCAAUCAACCUAUGGGGAACAGGUUCAGUUCCCCUGUUCACACUCAUGCUGGUUUCAUCCACAGCAGAGGAACAGCUAAAUGAAAGCAGCUGUUUCAAAGAGCAAUUCCUUCUCAUGCCCAAUCACCAUGUAUAUUCCCAUUAGGCCAGUUCUUCAGUCACCAAGUAAUCUUUCUUUUUUCAACAUGAUUCAAAACAAAAGGUACUCAUCCAUUUUCCAAAAUCGAAGAUAACCAGCAACCACCAGAAUGCAUGUUUUAUUGUGGUCGUGAGACCCAAUAUGUGAAUGAUAGAACCAGCAGAAGGAAGCAUCGGCAGAUCAACCAUUUACCUCGAAGCUCUUGCAGGGAUUUGAGGAACAUCUUGUGGUUCCCACCAAGCUCGAUACAGAUUGCCAUACGGUUAGAUUUCUGAUGCCUGUAGAACCACAACAAGUAACAUUACCAAGAGAAUUCAAGAAAUAAAUGAAAAUUAGAGAAUCCACUUAGGAUGUCCAACCCAGUUAAGAAGCUCCACAUUUAUAAAUUAGUUUGAUUCUCAAGGCUGAAACAACAGCCUGUAAGUUCACAAUGCAUGACUUGCUUUUCACUAAACCAAGAAAUCAGUGAAGUAAAAGAAAAUAAUGCUCUCAGGAACCAACAUUCAUUCACCAAAUGCUUCCCAGUUGUAAUACAAAUCUUGGACUAAUCCAGUAGAUUUAAGUGAAAUGCACACACAAGAAUUUUGAAAAUAUAUUUCUUCCAAGUACACAAUAUAACUCAAUUUACAGCUAGCAAUUUGAGAAAUGUGAGUCUAGAAUAAGUUGCAAAGAAAAUGUCAUGUAUGUGGGGCACAAAACUUCAAUGACGAAGGAUUAUAGACUUUAAGACAAUGUCUACAGUUGUUUUUUGUUUCCACAGUUGACAACAUGAACUUGGAGUUCAAAUUCACCAUGCACUUUCCAUUUGUUUAUGACUAGGUAGAGUUUCUCUCUGUCAAGCUACUAAACUGCUCACAAGAAUGAAGUGAUCCAUUAUUGUGGUCAAAACUGAAUUCUGGUUAAAAUAGUCAUUGUAGUUUCUUGCACAUAAUGGAUCUAGGACAGGUAGGGCCAGCUCACAGAAGUGAAAGGUAGAUUUCACCAAACAAUUCCUGACCCCAGAAUCAGUACCAGUGACACUGAAGAUGCAGAGACAGAAUUGAAAAGACAAUGCUAUAAUGCUGCACUGAUUGAGAAGUGAAGGUUUCUAACAUCAAGAAGAGCUGAUAUGUCCCAAUCAAAUUCUAGCACAGAUAACAGGUCUAUGAAAUGCUCAGCCACUCAGGCAUGCUGAUGAACAAUAAUAGAAUUAUAUGAAGCAUGAACCAGUCUCAAGAAGCACUAAAUAUGCUACUAAUCCAACCUAAACUUGCUAUCCAUUAUUUACAACAGAGAAGCAGGCCGUGUGUUUAUCUUUAUAUCCACAUCCUUCAGAGAACAUGAGCUCACAGCAAAUUUGAGACCUCGCAAUUCAUUAAUUACAACAGAGAAGCAGGCCCAUGUGUUAAUCUUUUUCCCCACGCUUCAGAAAGCUUGCCCUCUUGGAAAAUUUAACACCCUGCAUGCCAGCUGGAGGUACAUCUUCAGUCUGCCAACCAAUAAGAUGUAGGAUUUGUAGACAACUACCACUAUAACGAGACAGAUACUGACCAUUUAAGAUUGGAUACAUGGUCCUUUUCCUGCCAUUAAGUAGUAUUCAGAGCAAUAAUGGUAGAAACAACAUCGAAUCUGAUGCAGGCAUUAUUUUGUCUUUUUUUUUCUUCAGGAUAAUUUUAUUAAUUCAUUCAUUUUUUGCAGAUAAAAAAGUCUAACAAGACAUUUCUUGAUGAAAAUUUAGUAAGUUUUUACACUACAUUUUAUUCAUGGGAAGGAGAGUAAGCCGAGUUAAAAACUAAAAGAAUAGACUGGAAAAAUAUGCUUAACUGAAAUUUGUAUCCAUAGUACCAAUAAGAAAUCAUUACUAAAAGUAAGAAUGUAACAUGAAGAUAAAAGGGUGAUUUCCCUAAAAAAUACCCACAUUUUGGGUAUUUUCCAAUUGGUAUCACCAUUUUAUUUUUUUCUCAAAUAGUACUCUUAAUUUGAAAAAUAUUCAAACCGCCCUUCAAAAACACUGUAAAAGGACGAUUUACAGUGUUGUUGGCAUGUUACAGUGUUUUGGUCACCAUAACAAAAACGUUGUAAAGCUUACUUAAAAACAUAGUAAAUAAACCAAAUGGAAUCAAAACACACCAAAUAUUAUUUGAUAUAUCAUACUAUGAUUCAAAUAGGUAUUUAAAAUAGCUUAGGAACAAUAUCACCCAAAUAGAAAUAAAAAAUUACCUUUACAGUGUUUUGCCCACCACAAUAAAACAUUAUAAGACCUACUCGAAGACACUAUAAACGAUCUAAAUGGAAUCUAACCCCAACCAAACCAACUAGAAGCCUAAAAAUAUAGAAUCAUAAGGUCUAUGAGCAAUGACAACUAAAUAGGUACAAUAUGAUGUCAAUUAUGAUAUUUUUCAUUAGUGUUUUCAGUAUCUCAAUAAAAUACUAUAAACAUUGUAAAUGAUCCAGAUGAAAACAUUGUAAUAGUUUUAAAAUGAUAAAAAUGGGCAAAAAUUUUUUGAGGGAUAUUUUGUGUAAUUUUUAAAUUAGAGAUAUUGUUUGAGAAAAUGUAAAAGAGGGGUACCCUUUUGGAAACACCCAAAAUAUGAGUAUUUUCUAUGGAAAUCGUCCAAGAUAAAAAUUGUUUGCCCUGAGAUCCCAGUGUGGUUUUGUCAUAUAACAAUCCAGUACCUGAGCUUCAGCUUUAACGAAUAAUUUCCAUCGUCUCAAAGGCUUCAACACAUUUAUAAGGGUACCAAAAUACAUUCAUUAUCAACUGGUGGACACUUUGAUGGAGUCAUCGUUUUGUCCUACUUUUAACUUCAAAAUAAUUUUAUUAAUAUGGGCUUUUUGCAAUUGUCAUAAUGUUAUCACAACAAUUUCUUUGCAAAUAUGAACUCUGCCCAUGUUUUUGCCUAAGCAAAAGAAAAAAAUGAACUAAAUAAUUGAUGAUGAUUUAAAAGAUAUGUUUAAUUAAAGAUAUAUUCAUGGAAAAAAUUAAUACCUAUAAUAGACACCUCCCAAAGCAUCAUUGAAAUUAUGAAAGAUUCUCUGGAUAUGAAAGAUGAGAUGAUCGAAUUCUUACUCUUCGACUAAAAGAAUUAGAAUUUCUUUUUUAUUUGUCGUUGAGGUUAGGGUUUUUAUAAGGGGGAAUGUUGUGAUUGACUAAAUGGUAGAAUGAAUUCAAUUUAUAUUCUCAAAUUAUGUGGGAGUGGCACGAGGAAUCAGGUAGAAAGGUUGUAUGUAAAUGUGACCCCUACAAUCCAAAACUAUAGUAAUUGAUUAUUGUGCACAAGAAUGCUAUGCUGUUCAUCCUGACUAGCAACAAUUAUAUGUGAGACAGGAGAUAUAUAGUUAGCAACUGCGUGAAACAGAAACAAAUCCUUCCCCAGAGAACAUCAACGCAUCAUGAGUCCAUAUCAGAACGGAGUUUAUGCCAAUACCAAUUGUGAGAUGAAUCAAUUGUGACGCUUGAGAUGAUAUAACCGAAGAAAAGAAGACUCGGAAACCGAAUGUAGAUCAAUGGAUGCGCAAUCUUCACCAUCUCUCAAAUCAUAGUAGCGUACAUUUCAGCAUGUACAUAAUUUUAACAUGCAAAGAACGGGAGACGACUCACGAAAGGUAUCUUGGAGGCUUUGUCGUUCAAGACGGCGUGCAAACCGAGCGACGCGAAGAAGCCCAGCCCUUCGCAUAGCCACGCUAACGCCUCGUGCUGAUAGAAAAGAAUCCACAAAAGAGGAACACAUACGGAUUCAUUCUCACAAUACAUCAUUGGAACAACAGAAAGAAGGAAAAACCCCUAAUCUUUUGGAGGAUGGAAGUUACCUUCCCGAUAAUGGUAGGAGCCCGAUAAGGCGAUAGGUCCAGUUCUCGGCCGAACCCGAUCGUUGUAAACGGGCAGCUUACAAGAUGGACCAAAAACGACAUGGAUCAGAAACUUGAGUGGGAGAAGAGCUUACGGGCUUGCCGGAGACGAUGUGCUUGCCGAGGGAGCGGCCCAUACCAGAGCCCGAGAGGAUGGCGGGGGCGGCGCAACGGGCCGAGCCGCAUCGUGCGUCUGCUUCGUCUGCCGUGGGACGUUGUUCCGCUCGCAGAUGCAUGCGACCGGAGGUCAUCCCUUCGACCUUUUAGUCGAAUCCAAAAUCAACUGGAUCCUCGGGGACUGCGGUAGCAAGGGCCAUAUCGGGUCGUCUCCACCUGCGAACGUGAAUCCAAUAAAAUAUUGUGGAUCCGGAUCCGAGAACGGCUACAGCGUGUCUGUGACCAUGUUUCCGAGUCCACUGACACACGAACUCAAAGGACCAUGGGCUGACAGCCCAUACUAACAAGAGACGGCUAUGACGGAAUCUCAAAAGCAUGCAAAUCAUAGAAUAAAUGUCCGGCAGAUACACAUUGAGAAUAAUAGGUCAUUAGGGCAGAUGCAAGAAUCUUCAUAAUAUUAUACUGAAUACCAGCAACAACUCAAAAUUUAGAGCAAGGAUGCCUUCUGAGAUGCAUUGUUUAACUGAUUGAAAUUUUAAUGACAACCUCUAUAACCAACAGAAAUCGGACAUGAUGCAUUAGAUCCUGCACCAACUCUAAAGGUCAAUACAGAAACUGAAAAUCUUUACUUAGAUAGCAUAAGAAUAAAUGAAAUAUAAAAAACAAGAUUUACUUGAGGUAAUGCCUGGAGUAAACAUGAUGGUUGGUAAGACCAGAAUAACUGUCAUUGAGAAAAAAAAAAAAAAGUUACCUUGCUGUAUUAGGAGCCAUAUUCUCAAGACCAUUCAUUCUAGAAAAUAGAUUAGACACUCCAUUCACAUCUUUAGGCAAAUCAUAGCCAAUCUUAAACAUGCUGGGAAAUCAGCUACUAGAAAAACAAUGAGAUCAAUGGCUUGAUCACUCAUUUUUUCUGAAUGCAAGUUGAGAUAGGAAACCAUCACUGAGGUAUAGCGAGGAAUUGACAUGCACUGACGACCCACGUGAAUUCUGAAUGCCAGCAACUUUGUGAAGGACAUAAAGAAGGCAGUUGUGGAAGUUUAUCCAUGAAUGAUAAAGGCAUCAAUGAGGUUUUGAGAGGAUAAACACACGGUGAUGACCGAUGCGAGCUUCAAGAAUACGGCCGAGAUGGCGAAGGACCUGUAAGUCACAGUUACGGGAAUUAGCCCAUUUGGUAACACUCUCUGGCAAUCAUGCAUCAGUAACACCUAAUUUUGCUCCAAACAUAUUUUGCCAACAAAAGUUCCAAUAUUUGGAAUAUUGAUCUUAGCAUAUCCUCUUGCUGCUAAUAUAUAUGAAAAACUUGGUACCAAGUCCUAAUAACUGUAACAGGCCAACAUGCACCAGCAAUUUCAUGCACAAAAUUUAUAAAAAAAAAGACUUAAGGCUCCCGUCAAUACAAGAUCUAAAAAGAGUCAAUAUAUAUAACCUUAUCUUUUAAUAUUUAAAGAGAUUGUUUUCAUGAAUUAGAUCCUAAUCUUGACAGGUUGCAAAGGAGCAACCUCAUCAUUAUUCCAAGAUCCGCCCUCAAAUUUCAUGUGCAAAAGUAAACCGAUAAAAUAAAAAAAGAGGAGAAUCCUGAAAUAAGAUACACAGACAAUGAUUUCACAACUAGAUACGUUGGACUAAGUAGUUUAAAUUUAUAAGCAAUAUCAGCGAGGCAGAAAAUUAAUAGAUAAUGUAAAAACAUCAGGACGACAACUCAACCAAGUCAUAGUCGCAUUACAGCUGGUAGUACAAGUAUGACAGAAAUUAGCACCUGUUGCUGUGUUCUAAGGCCCAAACAGUUUCAUGAUUGUUAUGGGAUACCAUGUGAACACGAUAUAUAGAUGAAAAGAGGUAGCCAUCACACUUUAUACCAACACAUGCAGGUUGACAUACUCAUAGCCAGCAGGAUAUAUGUAUCAUACAUCACAUAAUGCAAAUUACGGAGUUCAACUGUGCACCUGGGAACAUGACAGCAAGCACAUAAUUCCAACGAGAGAAUUAGAAGUAUGAUGAGAAAAUAAAGGAAUGUAUAAGUAAAUAUGCAAAGUUAAUUGUAUUCUCAUCUAUAGAACCCACAGACAAGAGACAUAUUGUCAGACCUAAUCCAACCAUCUAGAGUCCACAAUACUGAUCCCCAAUGAUAAACUUGGGAAGCACAAUUAGAGAUUUCAUUAUGACUAGAUAACUUACUGUCAAAAUUGCUUUUCCCGUAUUGUCAAGUUUCAGUCCUGGUCCUUUUAUGUCUGUUUCCAGGAAAAAGUGCUUGCCUUUCACUGCUUCAGUUGUUGCUAUGUCUCUUAGUUCCUGCAUUUUAACAACAACAGUAGCAAACUUGUGUAACAUUGAACAGACAUACAAAUUCAGCACAAAAUGUGAUACACGCGUUCUUCCCACAUGGGUUACAGUUUACACAUUGCCACACAGGAAAAAUGUAUAAUAGCCAGCUGAAUCUACUUACAAGAGCUUUUUCCCAGGUGUCUUCAGCUAGCUACAUGAAAACAAGAAGACACGAUAAACAAAUGGCCAAUAGGAAGACGCCAAGCUUAUUUAUUAUACUGAGCAACACAAACCUUCUUCUUUGGGCAUGAGACGAGAUGAGAAUUUGCUUCUGCAUACAUAGCUAUCUCAUUGAUAGCAAUAUUGACCUUGUCCAAAGUAAGCCUUCCCCUCAUAUAACUGCAAUUGUUAAGAUGGAAAAAUUGAAUUUGGUUUCAAAUGAUACGUGAUUUGCUUAUCAAGCACAUACAAUAUCUUUCAAUAUCCAUAUGAGAUUAUAAAUAUUUAUUACUAGGGACCCUGGUAUGUCAUUCAACUUCUUUUCAGAACAUCUGAAAUCAGGAAAGAGUAUGGAUUAUGUAACCUAUUUUACCUGACUUAAAUAAUUUCAACUUGUGUUUUGGUUCCUAUCUUUCUGCCUAGUUAAUUUCAAUGACAGAUCAUUUUUCCACAUCAACAUACCAUAAAUACCAGCCUUUUCCAAUUGUCCUCAGAACACCAGAGGUCUUUCGCAAAACCAAUGAACUCCAACUCCAUGUAUUUUUAGAUUUAUUAUCUUGGAACUCAGUUCUUUAAUUUUCAUUACCGGAUUAACUAAGAGACACAAAAAACAGAUAAUCUACAACAUUAAAAUUGACAAGAGAUAGAAACAAUGAGAACCAAGAAGAAAUAUACCAACAUGGUGCAGAAGAAAUAUACAAAGUAAAUUUGAGGAUAGACUUACGAAGACAGUGAAUCCAAUUCCUCGGCAGAAAUAUACCACCGCGGUGCAGGAGAUGGACCCUUCUUCCCCUACAUGGGAACAAUGCAUCUGUUAAUUGGAGAACAAACAUAACUAUUUCUUGGAAACAGUUGCACAAAGUUAUUUGAUCUUGGCGCAAUCGUGAUGUUAGACUAGAAUCUUGUGAAUUACGGAAGUAGCACUGUUUAUGGUCAAUACAAAAGAGAAAAGGCCUCAAAUAAAGCAUUCUUUUAUAAUGUCAACUCGAGGCUUGCUGAUUUCAGCCGCUUACUGGUGAUAAACACUGUAAUCAUGAUGCAAACAUUAAGAAUAAGCUUUACGACGAACAGAUGAGGGGCAGUCUCUUACCUUGAGCAUAGCAACAGGCUCCUCCUUGAGAUGACAAGGCUCGUGCAAUAUAUCGGGACCCGAAUCAUCAGGCACCAAGCUGAAACCAACAAACCCAAUUCCUUUGAAGAAUCUUCGUUGCAAAACUAUAUUUGAAGAAGAAAAAGAAAGGUUAAAUGAACAAUAAAUAAAUUGGUCGCCAGAAGAACUACCUCGAAGAGGGGUUUUGAACCGAUCGGCUUUGGUUCUUAAGCAUCGAAGGCGGCAUAUGGGCGAGCAUGUGCUGCAGCUUUCUUUGCUGCCGCUGGGACAGAUCGAUGAGUUUCUACACCCGAACAAAAGUAGGAAAGAAAGAGGUGAAGAAACCGACACGAUUCGCUGGAGAUUCGAUGGAAUUCAAGAAGAAAAGAGACCUUGGCCUUAGGGAUAGCGUUUCUCUCCUCUUGUAGUCGGUCCUUGAUCGCCUGGAUCUGCGACUCCAUCGUCUUCAGGGUCACGUCGACCGCCGACAGAUCGGGCAUGCUGGUGGAGGGAUACACUGCCCAACAGAGUAAGAAAGAAUUUAAGCGAUUCGGCGGUGGAUUUCUUCAAAGGAAGAAAAGGGAAACGGGAAGAGAGAAGAGAAAGUGGGGGAUGGCGAACUGUUGCGGGCGAUGACGAGCUCCUGCAGUUCGACGAUGCGGGUGUGGAAGGAGGAGACGAGGGCGUCGAGGGAGGAUCCCGCUUGCAUCAGAUCCAUCGCCGCUACCGGUCUUCCGAGUCCCCACUUCUUUCUCUCACUCAGUCCUCACUCUCUCGCCGUUCCCAAACCAAACCUUUUGAAUGCGUUGCUGCCGCUUACUGGUUGGGAGGGAAACUUCUAAUUGUUUGCUGAUCUAUCCGUCUUAAAUAAGAAAUUUCUUAAAUGCGCCCCUAAAACGUAACUUUCUUGCAAAAAAUCCCUUCUAUUCCGUAAUACCAGGUCAAAAGACUGGUUUACCCUUUUUAUUAGGGGAUGUGUCAAACAGGUAAUUUCCUAAGAUCAUUAAUCUUUUUCUUGUGUUUGAAAGGUUAUUUUCGCAAAAGCAACAAAUCAGGAGCACGAUUUUAGAAAUUAUUAUGGGCAUUUUGUUAACUCGUGUAUAUGUUCCAAAAGAUGUAUACCUUCGUCGUGACAUAUUUCUCUUCACGUGGGUCGGGUUCUCCGAAUCACUCAUCUCAGGCACAUUUGGUCUUGCGCCUUUGUCGUGACAAAUUUCUGGAUCAAGUUUUCCCAACUCACAUGCUUUAAGUACAUUUGGCCUUGUACCUCCAUCGUGACGGAUUUCUUUUCAUGCGAGUCGGGUUUUCUCGACUCAAGGGUCUCAGGCACAUUUAACCUUAUGUAUCUGUUGUGGUGGAUUUCUCUUCACAUCAGUCAGGUUUUCUUGAUUCACACACCUCAUGCACGUUUGGCUAUGCACCUCCACCAUGAUGGAUUUCUCUUCACACGGGUCGGGUUUUCUCGACUCAGCGCCUCAAGCACAUUUGAUCUUACGCUUCCAUCGUGAUAGAUUUCUCUUAUGCGGGUCAGGUAUUCCUCACUCAUGUGCUAUGGGCAUAUUUGGCCUUGUGACUCCGUCGUGAUGGAUUUCUCUCUAUAUGGGUUAGUACUACUAUCAAAAGCCUCCAAUGAUGAGAGGUGAAAGUUAGCCAGGAUCAGCUCCUCUUGAAUGUCUUUGGUGAAUGCGAUCAAACCGAUAUGGGGUUGGUCGACCUUUCGCUUUUGGAUUGUUAGAAUUCUUGUCGUAUCUCUUAUAAGUGUUAGUCUAUUCAUCAUAGUUGAAUCCUUAGGGAAUCAUUCAUCGAAUUUGCCAACUUGAUCAGGGAUUUAAGUGGAGCAGAGUGGUGGUGUGGUGGUCCAUUGAAGUCUACGAUUGGGGAGUAGAGUGCUCCCUCGGCCGACGGUUCGAUGGGCCUCAAGCACUCUUGAGAUGUUGUAUUACGUCGAGUUGCGGGACCUCGAUGGGUGUUGAUGCUGGUGAUGGUUAACCUACUGACCACAGUUGAGAUGAUGGCAUUACUUGUUGGGCUAGCUUGGGAAAGAGUGAAGCAACAGCUUGCAUCAUGCCCAUUAGUAUCUACACCUGCUGGGUGAGCUUUAAGAACAUCUCAACGAGGAUGAGUAGAUGACUCGGGGUCGCUCUUGGGCCGUAGAAAGGAUACUAGUAUUGCAUUGGCGUUUGUGUCAAGGUAGAUACAUCCACGUAUGGAAAGGUUAGCUACUGCCCCCGAGUGAAAAUAUUGUGGGUCAGGGGGCAAGGCCUCCUUGCUUAGGAGUUCAUUAAGAGGAUUGGUAGGCAGAUAUUCAUGUGACAACGGACCCUUCUUUUAGCACCAAAAUGUUAGAAAAAAAAAAUAUUAAUAUCCUAACUAGUCUGACGUAGUCCGGACCCAUAUGUGCAGGAUUGCCCGAGGUGCCUCCAAGCAAGAUACUAAGCUCCCGAGAUGCCACCCACAUAAAGACCGAUGUUGAGAGAAGUUUCUUGACCCGAUUAAUCCGACAUCCAAAUUAAUAACCCCAAGUCUAAGAGUCUGGAUGCAAGUAGCAAAAAAAAGAUCACUCUCCUCUUUAUGCUAAGGAUAUAUUUUUUUAUCUGAUCAUAGGGGAUAAAAUAUUUCAUAAAAUAUUCCGGAUAGGGGGAGAAUAAUCUGUGAAAUAUUUUUUGGACUCUUGUCCAAAGUGGGUUGAUGAAUGGAAAGCCAUAUCUCAUAUCACCAGCUUCUCAUCCCUCAACCUUCUUUUCAAGAUACCGACUAAUAUAAUCAGUAAAAACUUUGACAAAUGAUUAUAAAAUUUUAGAUUCCAAUAAUACCCGGUAAAUCCAUUUAUCAUGUGAGGAGAAAACAAAAUAUUUACCAGCCAUCAACUUUCUACUCAAAUCAUUUGUAAUUGAGUUUAGCAUUUCACCUUGCAUCAAUAUCUUAAUACCAAAUAUUUCAAGAAGUUCUUGAGGCGGAAUUCUACUUAAAAUCUCUCUCUCUCUCUCUCUUGCUAACGCAACCUCACGCGACACAUAGACAUUACCCAUCUCGAUCCUUCUUAAUAAUACAUAUGAAUUAACUAACACCUCAAAUCUUCGCAUGUGAAAUCGAAUGAGUGCAAGAAGUAGGUACAGGUCUAUAUCCCUGAAAUAAAUGCAUGAAGUAGGUGCAGGUAUUCAUUAACCAUGUGCCUUUGCACCCUCGAAGAAGACGUGGUGGAAGAAACAUGCCAAUGGUGACCCGUGCAAAGAUCCCUCUUGUUGUUUUCGAAGCAGCCCAGCAUGGAAACUCUCUGCCUUCACAUUCCAUCACCAUCUAUCAUCCUCAACUAUUCAUCUUACAGAUAGAAGAUGCACAACUCCCAUCUAUCAUUCAACAAUAUAUUGUACAACCAUACGAGUUACAGUCCGUCGCAGCAAAUAAAAUGCACGGAUACCUGUAUAUGUACAACCAUAAGAAGGGGUCUCCGGUCGCGUAAACAGAGCAAAAGCUACUCGACAAAGAUAAAGAUGAGGUAUCGAAGUGGUUUAUCAGUUGUGAGAGGGGGGAUUGGUCGUCGGUCCAACGUAAUCCGCAUCAAACCCUGGAUGCUCCUUUGCUCCACCUCGAGGCACAGGCCAUGUAACCUUAACGAGCGUGGAGGCUUGAAGGGCACCUGAGACGCCUUCGUUCUUCCCCUUGACGUCCUCUGUGCGUUCAACAGUCGAGAAGCCUUGUUUCUUCUCGAGUGCAACACCUUCCGAUGACGUCGAUUCUGCGGGAUUUCCAUGGACUGAAUUCUCAUCCGGAAUCACCUUCGCAGAAACCUAAACAAGAGACACGCUAAGGUUACAGUCAUCCUACGUAUGUAAUCAACAAACAUGAUCGAUGAUCACCAACCUUGCUGGAUUCAUUGUAACGACUGCUUGGAUCUUUGGCAUGCAUCCUUAGAUGCCGGGCAUUGCAUGCGUCGACGGAAAGAGCUAACAGGAGGGUGAAGAGAAGAGCAACAGAAGGCAUGUCUGUUGUGCUAUGGGUUGAGUUGAUGAUGCGUACGAGUAUUUGUAAACCAUGGCAUUAACUGCGGUCCUGCAUGGCAUCGAGGUGAAGUGGUGGUAGUGUCGCCUCUAAGAAGACACGGAGGACUGCAGGUAUCGAGAGAGAACUUCGCGACGGAGAUAUGGAGGACUGCAUUGCUUUGUCUUGUCCGUCGGCUUCUCUAAUUCCUCCUCUCGAUCUGUGUCUAACGAGUUCUUCGAGCGAAGUUAUUGUUGUACGGGUUUGCGGAGAAGCGCGGGGCCCCACCGAUCACCGACCAUGCCUGCUCGUGGGACCCGACGGCCCCUUCUCAGGUUGGGCGACGGAGCGUGGCGGCAACGAGGUGAGGAGAGGAAGCGGGGCCGUCGAAAAUGACGGCGCGAGGUCGACCGCUAACGGUCACCGGAAUCUGGCGCGCGUGGUCGGUGAAUCCGUGUGGGUCCGACGGGAUCGAUGGGAGAAUGGCCCAAAAUAAUUAACCAAAAUUAAGGAUAGUAAAUUCAUCUAAUCCUUAUAGUUUAUUCAAGUCUUCCUGCGAUUAAAACGGAAACGAAAUCUCAAACUCCUAAAAGCCAGUCACUACUAAUCUUCUUCAGCACGGUCGGCUUCGACGAUGGCGGCCUCAGCCUCGGCAUCCUGCACCUCCUUCUCCGUCUUCUUCCCUUUCUUGGACUUGUAGUACACGUUCAUGAAAGUGCCAAUGGCGCCGUACUUGCGACGGCAGUGCUCGUAGUGGGACGCGUCGAACAUCCUCCAGAAGUUCUUCUCGGUGAGCUCCGAGACGGAGUACUGCGCCUGGAAACCGUGGUUCUGAAUCAUCCACUCCUCGAGCUUGCGGACAACUUCGGCGCCGUCGAACUCCUCCCCCCUGAACACGGGACCUGGAGCAUAGUACAAACCGACGUCGGUGAACAUUUGGGCGAAGCUCGUGUCUCCCUGCCGGUGAUGGUCCUCGAAGCCUGUUUCUGGAUGCACCAUCGUCUUCAGAGGAAGCUUGAACAGCCGAUGGGGGCAGAGCCAUACUGGAUAUAGCUGCAAGACGAUUCAGGUUACUUAGUACUAGCUUAAAGAUUCACAGUCUCAAAGACAGAUCCAAGAAGGUACCUCCGUUUCACAAUGGCAAAACUCGAGAGCAUCUGCAACUUUGUACAGAGGAAUCAGGAGAUCCUGGAUCACAUGCAUGUCAUGGUAAUAGUUCCUGAUAGCUUCACCUUGG